AUGGAGAGUGUUGCAGUGUUGAUUGUUGGUGCUGGGCCAGCAGGCCUCGCAAAGGCAGCAUGCCUUAGCCAAUUCGCAAUUCCUUAUGUCAUAGUCGAGCGUGAGAGCUGUAGCGCGUCACUUUGGCGCAACCGCGCGUAUGAUCGCCUCAAGCUGCAUCUUGCAAAGGAGUUUUGUGAGUUGCCACACAUGUCAUACCCUGUAGAUGCACCAACAUACAUACCAAAAAACUUGUUUGUGAAGUACUUGGAUGAUUAUGUUGAGCAUUUCAACAUUCAACCGAAGUACCUCACCAGCGUGGAGUCAUCCACAUAUGACAAUGAUGAAAAAUGUUGGGUCAUUGUGGCAAAGGACAUGUCAAAGUGCACCACAGUCAAGUUCACGGCAAAGUUCCUUGUUGUGGCAAGUGGUGAGAAUAGUGCAGAGAAUAUUCCAAUGAUCCCUGGACUAGAAAGCUUUUCAGGUGAUGUCAUCCACUCCUCAAGCUACAAGUCAGGCAAGAGCUACUCUGGCAAGAAUGUAUUGGUCGUUGGAUCCGGCAACUCCGGGAUGGAAAUUGCUUAUGACCUUGCGACCCAUGGUGCCAACACAUCGGUUGUUAUACGAAGCCCGAUUCAUGUAAUGACAAAGGAAUUAAUUCGUUUGGGCAUGACACUUGCUCACCAUCUUCCAUUGAAUCUAGUGGAUAAACUCCUUGUGAUGGCAGCGUAUUUAAUAUUUGGAGACCUGUCACGACAUGGCAUCACAAGGCCAAAAAUGGGUCCAAUGACCCUCAAAGCAGAAACAGGCCGAUCCGCAGUGAUUGAUGUUGGGACUGUUGGAUUGAUCAAAAAAGGCAUCAUCAAAUUAUCAAUGUAUUUUUAUCUUAUAUAG
rnacentral:rRNA from 1 species